CUACCACAGAACAUGUACUUUUUCAUAACACAAUUUACUGUCUUAUGUUCUAAUUCAGAAUUUUUUUCCCUCUAAAUUUGGAGACCCCUGUAAAAGGUCAUUCAUUCAGAUUUAAGCUGGUGCCUUUUCUUUGGCUCCUGCUUGCUUGACACAACCAGAAAGAAAGUACUCACAAGAGUGUUCUGCGUGAGGAAAGAGAUCAGUGGUGACAAAAAAUUAUCUAGAGCUGCAAUAGUAAAAGUAAAUUUCAGUUUUGUAGAAAACAGCCAAAUAAUUUCCUCAUCGUUCAUCACCUUGCUACCUUAAAAAGGAUUUCAGACAUGAUAAGGAGCUAAAAUUUCCUAAUUGCUUCCCAUAUUACCCAUAGGAAGGCCUUAGGCUGUCAAGAAUCAGGAGUUACUGGAUUGGAGUUUCUGCAACAGUUCCCAG